UACGAAGGGUGCAAACGUUGCUCGGAAUUAUUGGGCGUAAAGCGCGCGCAGGCGGCCUCUUAAGUCUGAUGUGAAAUCUUGCGGCUCAACCGCAAGCGGCCAUUGGAAACUGGGGGGCUUGAGUACAGAAGAGGAGAGUGGAAUUCCACGUGUAGCGGUGAAAUGCGUAGAUAUGUGGAGGAACACCAGUGGCGAAGGCGACUCUCUGGUCUGUAACUGACGCUGAGGCGCGAAAGCGUGGGGAGCAAACAGG
rnacentral:rRNA from 1 species